AGCAGCCGCGGUAAUUCCAGCUCCAAUAGCGUAUAUUAAAGUUGUUGCAGUUAAAAAGCUCGUAGUUGAAUUUCGGGGUCAGCAGGUUGGUCGUGCCAAUGGUAUGCACUGGCCUUGGUGAUUCCUCCCUCUUGUAGAACCGUAAUGCCAUUAAGUUGGUGUUGCGGGGAAACAGGACUGUUACUUUGAAAAAAUUAGAGUGUUUAAAGCAGGCUAACGCCUGAAUACAUUAGCAUGGAAUAAUGAAAUAGGACGAUCGAUCCUAUUUUGUUGGUUUCUAGGAUUGACGUAAUGAUUAAUAGGGAUAGUUGGGGGCAUUAGUAUUCAAUUGUCAGAGGUGAAAUUCUUGGAUUUAUUGAAGACUAACUACUGCGAAAGCAUUUGCCAAGGAUGUUUUCAUUAAUCAAGAACGAAAGUUAGGGGAUCGAAGACGAUCAGAUACCGUCGUAGUCUUAACCAUAAACUAUGCCGACUAGGGAUCGGAUGAUGUUAAUUUUUAAUGACUCAUUCGGCGCCUUAA
rnacentral:rRNA from 1 species